CUACGGGUUGCACCAGUGAGGAAUUUUGCGCAAUGGGGGCAACCCUGACGCAGCAACGCCGCGUGAGUGAAGAAGGCCUUUGGGUCGUAAAGCUCUGUCAACAGGGAAGAAGUUAUAAUUAUUUAAUAGAUAAUUGUAUUGACGGUACCUGUGGAGGAAGCGCCGGCUAACUCCGUGCCAGCAGCCGCGGUAACACGGGGGGCGCAAGCGUUAUUCGGAAUUAUUGGGCGUAAAGGGCGCGCAGGCGGUCUUGUCCGUCAGGUGUGAAAGCUCGGGGCUCAACCCCGGAAGUGCACUUGAAACAGCAAGACUUGAAUACGGGAGGGGAGAGAGGAAUUCCUGGUGUAGAGGUGAAAUUCGUAGAUAUCAGGAGGAACACCGAUGGCGAAGGCAUCUCUCUGGACCGAUAUUGACGCUGAGGCGCGAAGGCGUGGGUAGCGAACGGGAUUAGAUACCGGUAGUC
rnacentral:rRNA from 1 species